GAUGAACGCUGGCGGCGUGCCUAAUACAUGCAAGUCGAGCGGAGCGGGGACGGGUGAGGAACACGUGGAUAACCUCCUAUAAGACUGGGAUAACUUAGGGAAACCGGAGAUAAACCCGAUACUUAUUGGUGGAUCCACGCUGCAUUAGCUAGUUGGUAAGGUAACGGCUUACCAAGGCAACGAUGCAUAGCCGACCUGAGAGGGUGAUUGGCCACACUGGAACUGAGACACGGUCCAGACUCCUACGGGAGGCAGCAGUGGGGAAUCUUCCGCAAUGGGCGAAAGCCUGACGGAGCAACGCCGCGUGAGUGAAGAAGGUCUUCGGAUCGUAAAGCUCUGUUAUUAGGGAAGCGGUACCUAAUCAGAAAGCCACGGCUAACUACGUGCCAGCAGCCGCGGUAAUAC
rnacentral:rRNA from 1 species